rnacentral:rRNA from 1 species
GACGAACGCUGGCGGCGUGCUUAACACAUGCAAGUCGAACGGAAAGGCCCUGCUUUUGUGGGGUGCUCGAGUGGCGAACGGGUGAGUAACACGUGAGUAACCUGCCCUUGACUUUGGGAUAACUUCAGGAAACUGGGGCUAAUACCGGAUAGGAGCUCCUGCUGCAUGGUGGGGGUUGGAAAGUUUCGGCGGUUGGGGAUGGACUCGCGGCUUAUCAGCUUGUUGGUGGGGUAGUGGCUUACCAAGGCUUUGACGGGUAGCCGGCCUGGGAGGGUGACCGGCCACAUUGGGACUGAGAUACGGCCCAGACUCCUACGGGAGGCAGCAGUGGGGAAUAUUGCACAAUGGGCGGAAGCCUGAUGCAGAAACGCCGCGUGCGGGAUGACGGCCUUCGGGUUGUAAACCGCUUUCGCCUGUGACGAAGCGUGAGUGACGGUAAUGGGUAAAGAAGCACCGGCUAACUACGUG